rnacentral:rRNA from 1 species
UACGAAGGGGGCUAGCGUUGCUCGGAAUUACUGGGCGUAAAGCGCACGUAGGCGGCUUUCUAAGUCGGGGGGUGAAAUCCUGGAGCUCAACUCCAGAACUGCCUUCGAUACUGGAGAGCUUGAGUCCGGGAGAGGUGAGUGGAACCGCGAGUGUAGAGGUGAAAUUCGUAGAUAUUCGCAAGAACACCAGUGGCGAAGGCGGCUGCAGCUGGCCCGG